rnacentral:sRNA from 1 species
CGCCGCGCGCCUAGGGGGAUACCCUAGGCGGCGGCCGACCCGUAUCCGCGUGCGCCCAGCGCUGGCAAGGCUUU